rnacentral:lncRNA from 10 species
UCAGCAUGGAUCAACCUUAUGUUCCCUGCUGCCAGACCCUAUUCUCCUACCUCAAAAUGACAACAGAUUUUGAAAGAGUAACAAAAUAUGAAAGAAGUUAUCAGCACAAUGAAUCAAACUUAACUCAUAAAGCCAAUAAAGCCCUUGGGAAACUGGCCUCCUAUUCCAUGUACACAGUCCCUGUACAGGGUUUCUGAUCUGUGCAGGCGCUGCCGCUAAGCUCCUGAAACAGAGAGUGCCGCUGGGAAGAAAUCGACCUCUCCCACUCCAGUGCUGCACACAGUGCCCCAUCACGACGACCCCCUCUCAGCAGGAAGCAGCCAGGAAGAUUACAAUGCCCCAUCUCCCUACGAUUCUCGUGAUAAAUAAAUAUACAAGCAUGGUAGAAAUCAUGUGCAAAUUGACAGUGGGGAUUGUGGCGGGCCAGGUCUCACUAAUGCAGGCCUCCUUCACAACUGUUUCAGUACUGACUGAGUGGUUAAGUUAAAUAUUAAAAGCUAAAAAAGCCAGUGCCCUUUCACAAAGGCUGGAAUGUAACAAAAGCCCACCCAGAGUUUUGCCUAAGCUUUUCAUGGGCCUUAAAGCAUGACAAAAUAAGGAAGGAAUUCUGAACAGGACUCGUUUAGGAUUAAACAAGUUUUAUUAUCUGUAUUUAAUAAAUG